rnacentral:rRNA from 1 species
UACAGAGGUCUCAAGCGUUGUUCGGAUUCAUUGGGCGUAAAGGGUGCGUAGGCGGCGCGGUAAGUCGGGUGUGAAAUCUCGGGGCUUAACUCCGAAACUGCAUUCGAUACUGCCGUGCUUGAGGACUGGAGAGGAGACUGGAAUUUACGGUGUAGCGGUGAAAUGCGUAGAUAUCUGGAGGAAUACCGGUGGCGAAGGCGGCAUCCUGGACCGAGAUUGACACUGAUGAGCGAAAGCUAGGGGAGCAAACGGG